rnacentral:rRNA from 1 species
CCUACGGGUUGCAGCAGUAGGGAAUAUUGGGCAAUGGUCGGAAGACUGACCCAGCCAUGCCGCGUGCAGGAAGAAGGCCUUCUGGGUUGUAAACUGCUUUUAUCUGGGAAGAAAAUGUCCUUGCGAGGAAAACUGACGGUACCAGAGGAAUAAGCACCGGCUAACUCCGUGCCAGCAGCCGCGGUAAUACGGAGGGUGCAAGCGUUGUCCGGAUUUAUUGGGUUUAAAGGGUGCGUAGGCGGCUUGAUAAGUCCGUGGUGAAAGCCAACAGCUCAACUGUUGAACUGCCAUGGAUACUGUCGGGCUUGAGUACAGACGAGGUAGGCGGAAUUGAUGGUGUAGCGGUGAAAUGCAUAGAUACCAUCAAGAACACCGAUUGCGAAGGCAGCUUACUAGGCUGUAACUGACGCUGAGGCACGAAAGCGUGGGGAGCGAACAGGAUUAGAUACCCUAGUAGUC